rnacentral:lncRNA from 1 species
GCCGGGGCGGGGCCGCGCCGGGCGGGCGCGCGGGAGCUGCGGAGGGAGGGUGUCGCGCCGAGGGAAGCGGCCCGCGGCGGAGGGAGGGAAGGCCGAGUCCUGGAAGCGGAGCUCCGCGCUGGGACUGGUUCCUUCGCAGCCAUUUUCUGUCCAACCAAACAGCCGAUUGGAGACGGGAGCCAACCAGGGCUGCAUUGGAGAUGGACGGUGACAGUUCUACAACAGAUGCUUCUCAACUCGGAAUUUCUGCAGACUAUAUUGGAGGAAGUCAUUAUGUCAUACAGCCUCAUGAUGGUAAGAAAGCCACAAUUAAAACAGAUUCACAAGUAGGAACAAAUUAGACCAAGUGGACAUUUUAUUCAUGUGAUGUUCUAGGUUGCUUUUGUCUUUAUAGGAAAAGUAAUAAUCUUGUAUCACAGUAAAAAAUAUACUUUGCUAUUUUUAUUAGAAGUUGUCUUUAAAAGAAUGAUGGGUUCUAGAGAAGACGUCUAUAAAAGUAUGCCUUUUUAAAGCUGGUAUAAUUUCUUGAAAAGUUUAUUACUGAUUUCCUAUCUAGCUGUUAAUUAUGGCAGAUUCUUAAAUCAAUUGAUAUAGUAAGUUGAGUAGUUCUUUAGAGGGUGGGUUGCUGGCUAUUGUAGUUCUAGCACUUAUAAACAGACUUAUUUUGGGUUUUUAUUAAGUUUGAAUCAUGUCAAGUAUUAGAAUGGCAGUGUUAUGUUGGCCUAUCAGAAAUAAUUUGCUUUUGUGCCAUUCUGAUGUGUAAGAUUAAAAAACUCUAAGAUAGGGGUUCCCGCCGUGGCUCAGUGGCUAAUGA